AGAAAAGAUCCGAUUCAUUGAGAUGACUCGCUUCACGUCGCCGAUUCGAAUGCACGUCAGUCAACUGUCACCAACCGUCUUCUGAAGAAAUCAUUUUGAUCGCCGGUCGGACAGCAAACUACCUGUUGGCAGGUUGACAUAAGAAAAUGGGCAAAACAUGGGUCCUAGUGGAAUGAAGGGAGGAGCCACCGAUCUGACAUUGUUCCUAAAAAGAACCUACUGAAAAAUAACUUUGAACCUGGAGAUGUUGUGGAUGUUGCCGAUGAGGAUGAAAGUUCACCAGCCACAGUUU